UUAUGUGGCUUUCUAUCUAACAUUAUAGAUUCUUGGCCUUCUUUUUUUUUGUUAUAAUGGUUCAGUGUCUGCUUUAAUGCCUAUCUUUUGUUCUAUUAUCUAUCAUGAUUUUCAAGUAAAUGCCACUGAUAGAUAAUGGAUUUGGAUUGGGCACCCAUGAUGGGCCAACAUGGCCCAGCCUAUUUCUAACGAAACUGUCAAGAGGCAGCUAUAUUUAUAACCUCCAACUCCUAUGUCGGCUUUUAAAAAGAUAGCAAC
rnacentral:lncRNA from 1 species